AUUGAACGCUGGCGGCAUGCUUUACACAUGCAAGUCGAACGGCAGCGCGGGCUUCGGCCUGGCGGCGAGUGGCGAACGGGUGAGUAAUGCAUCGGAACGUGCCCAGUAGUGGGGGAUAGCCCGGCGAAAGCCGGAUUAAUACCGCAUACGACCUGAGGGUGAAAGCGGGGGACCGAAAGGCCUCGCGCUAUUGGAGCGGCCGAUGUCGGAUUAGCUAGUUGGUGGGGUAAAGGCUUACCAAGGCGACGAUCCGUAGCUGGUCUGAGAGGACGACCAGCCACAGUGGGACUGAGACACGGCCCAGACUCCUACGGGAGGCAGCAGUGGGGAAUUGUGGACAAUGGGGGCAACCCUGAUCCAGCCAUGCCGCGUGCGGGAAGAAGGCCUUCGGGUUGUAAACCGCUUUUGUUCGGGAAGAAAUCCUCUGGGCUAAUACCCCGGGGGAUGACGGUACCGGAAGAAUAAGCACCGGCUAACUACGU
rnacentral:rRNA from 1 species